rnacentral:rRNA from 1 species
GAUGAACGCUGGCGGCGUGCUUAACACAUGCCAGUCGAACGGUGAAGGCGGAGCUUGCUCUGCUGGAUCAGUGGCGAACGGGUGAGUAACACGUGAGCAAUCUGCCCCUGACUCUGGGAUAAGCGCUGGAAACGGCGUCUAAUACUGGAUACGAGCUGCGAAGGCAUCUUCAGCAGCUGGAAAGAACUUCAGUCAGGGAUGAGCUCGCGGCCUAUCAGCUUGUUGGUGAGGUAACGGCUCACCAAGGCGUCGACGGGUAGCCGGCCUGAGAGGGUGACCGGCCACACUGGGACUGAGACACGGCCCAGACUCCUACGGGAGGCAGCAGUGGGGAAUAUUGCACAAUGGGCGAAAGCCUGAUGCAGCAACGCCGCGUGAGGGACGACGGCCUUCGGGUUGUAAACCUCUUUUAGCAGGGAAGAAGCGAAAGUGACGGUACCUGCAGAAAAAGCGCCGGCUAACUACGUG